UUUCCGUAGGUGAACCUGCGGGAGGAUCAUUAUCAAAACAGCGGACUUCGGUCCUUGCUGCACCCUUGUCUUUUGCGUACCGUAUGUUUCCUCGGCGGGCUUGCCUGCCGGUUGGACAAUAUCAAACCUUUUUGUAGUUGCAAUCAGCGUCAGAAACAAAACAAUAAUUACAACUUUCAGCAACGGAUCUCUUGGCUCUCCCAUCGAUGAAGAACGCAGC
rnacentral:misc_RNA from 1 species